rnacentral:lncRNA from 1 species
AAAUAAUCAAUUAAUACUCAAUUAAAAUAUAUCACUUAGAUCCUAACCUAGGCAAGAACAGUAACCCUAAAAAAAAAAAAAACUAGAUUUAAGGCUUAUUUUUGUAUGUUUCACUAUACCAAAGAGUAAACCCCUGGAAAGAAUGUUUUAUGUCAAUGGGUUCUUUUCUCCAUAACAUAUACCACACAUCCGAUUUAUCCAUAUAGAGUCGGAAAAUAUUUUGGUAUAACGUACAGUAUAUCUAGUAUAUGUUUUGAAAGCCUUUAACGUUUACGACUUUGCGUCGGCACGUGGAAUAUGGUAUGCAGUUUUAUAAAAUAACCCUUUGGUAAAUAUCAUUUCGAUAAUACCCGUUUACAUUACUAUAUAAUAAAACAAAACUUAAAUUAGGACUUGUAAAGAGAAAAAAGAUGACCAAAGAUAUGUCUUUACUGUGUAGAACGUAUCUUGUUAUUAAUUUUUGAAAAAAAGUUUUCUUGGGUGCAAGCUGAAGUAAUCAUUCGGUUUUGUCUCGCUGCAUAUAUUGAACACCCGUUGGUGGCCUUGUGGUGGUCAGGUUGUUGUAUCUUUAUCAAAUUCCCUGUUUUCAUUCUCUAUUCUUUAUUUUAGUAAAAUAUACUGACGCGUCCUGUGAUUGGUUUUUCAAUGACGCAAUGGGGUUGUUAAAAAGCUUGAAGACAAAGAAAUGUGAACUAUAUAACAAAAAUACUGAUGGAUUAGGUGAAGGAUAAAUUAUAAAUGUGGUUUUUGAUAAACCGAAAAUAUUUUUGACAGGAAACAUUUAACAUUCCUUAUAUACAUAGAAGUUUCUCAUUUUGGUAAAACAGUGUUGGCUAUAAUUCAUAUCACCAAGUCUUACUUAUACUAAAUAUGUUUAGUCUAAGUAAUGAAAAGUAUUAAGUGCAUAUGGAAUUUUUUAAUACACAUCCAUACGAUAAAAUAGGAAAGAUCAGUUUAUAAAAGCUUGGAGACAAAGAAAGUGAUGACUUUUCAUUUUUACAGUAUGAUGAAAGCCUUAUUUAAGUAAAUUUCACAUUUUCCGAAAUUGUGCUUAGCAGGCUGAUAUCUGUUUUACAGAGGGAGACAUGGCUUCUUUUCCACCAUUAAGAUUGAAGACAUCUAAAUUGGAGAAAAGGGAAUAGCAAAGCUACUAAAAAAGCUAAAUAUCAAUAAAGCUAGUGGUCAAGACAAAAUAUCAUGGAGAAUAUUAAAGUAAACAUCAGAUGAAAUAUCACCCUAUCUGAAAUAAAUAUUUUAAAGAUCAUUAUGUAUACCUAAAACAGGUCCCUCUCGAUUGGAAAACUGCAAAUGUAACAGCACUUUUCAAGAAAAUGAGAAAAUUGAAAUCAGUUACAAAACGACAUCACUUUACAUCAGUCCUGUGUAAAGUAAUGGAGCACAUACAUUUGUUCUUCUUAAACACAUCAUGAAACACCAGAAAUGU